rnacentral:lncRNA from 1 species
AUGUUAUCAAAUAUAGUAGUAGUACUAUAUUAAAUUAACGUUAUCAAAUUAACGUAAUUAAAAUUUUAUGAAAUUAACGUUAUUAAAAAGUUAUUAAAUUAACGAGGGGCGGACCUACGUGGUUUCCAUGGGGUUCACCCAAACCCCCUUGGUAAAAAAAUUACGUUGUGUAUAUAUAUAUAUAUAUAUAUAUAUAUACAUAUAAGAUAGAAAAUAUAUAUUUAUGUACGUAUAUUAAUGUUGAACCACAUGAAACAAGACACUUAGAUAGCCCAGUGGUGUUAUUUGCUCUUCUUGGGCGCUUCCUUCAGCCUAUUGUGCGGGUUCGAUCCUGCUAGUAGCUGUUUUUUUUUAAAUUAAAAAAAAAAGCUAAGUGCUGCUGCUAUAGAAAUAAAUAAAAUAAUAAUAAUAAUAAUUUUUUAAAAUUAAAAAAAAGUUAGGUGCUUCUACUAUAGAAAUAUAUAAAUAAUAAUAAUAAUAAUAAAAACGACGUCGUUUUAACACAAAAAACAAAACUUUGACAGUGCACAAAUAUGAUCUUUAACUAUUCAAAACUGCACAAAUAUGACCUCUCUCCAUGUCAUCCCUUUUAACGACGUGGCACCAUGUGAUUGGAUUACCUUUUCACGUAGGCGCGAGUGAGACUCACGCAUGGGGUUACAAAAUCGGAGGUGAUAUUUGUUUAGGUUUUGAAUAGUUAAAAGUCCUAUUUGUGCACUAUCAAAGUUUAAGAUCAAAGUUAUAAUUUGGUGUCAAAUUUAGGGUCAUUUUUAUGUAUUAACUCAAAAAAAAAAAAGACUACUUGAAAUCAUCAUUGAAUUUAAAAUCAUUAGUAUCAGAUUUUACUAUAUAUUUUUUUUUGAGAAAAGAGUCUACUAACAACAAAUUUCAAAAUCUAUCAAAAAACUUUGAAUCAAUUGGGUCAAUAAAUUUUGAAUAUCAGAUAAACAUAUAUAAAACAGAUUUUGGGAAUACAAAUUACACAUAAGAGAUUCCAUGGACCAAAUGAUAUCCUCAGUGCAUCAUUUAGAGCAAACAUAAUUUCUAAAUAUUCUUUGUGCCAAUUAUGGGUCAUUGUCUUAGAAAAAGAAGAAUAAUAUGUACAAAUGAAUGGAUCCAACCAAACACCUAAUCUAAAUCCAUAGACAAAAGAGGGAAUCAAUUAACACCUAACACUAGUUUCUGUUUCGUCAUUUUCUACAAGAUUUGGAAGAACAUUUUUUUAAAAAUCCAACAAAAUAGACAACAAACCAAAAAUUCAAGAUAAAUAAAUAGAUAAAUACGCACCUUUUGUGGUGCAGCUAAACUGGAGCUCCGACGUCAAGGUUCUCUGGCGGAUUCAACUCCAAGGAUUUCGAUUACCUGUGCUCUAAUUUGCUCUACUUUCACUCUUUUUAACACUAGUUUUUCAUUCUCUUUCUUCUAAUUUUCGACCUUCAAAAUUUGUUCCCAAAUUCUUUUCUAAAAAAAAACUUCAUUGUCUUUUUUUUCAAGUUUUCCCUUUUUCCGAUUUUCCACCCCUUUCUCUUAGAUCUUCAACCCUUUUUUUUCGCUCUUGUUAAACACCCCCAUUUUUUUUUUUAUCUUCUUCUGAUUCUUUCUAGUUUUUCCCCAGCCUGAAACUUCUCAAGAUCUUUUAAACACACUUUUUUUUUCUUAAUCUUGAACCCCUUUUCUGUUUUUCCAACCCUUCCCUCAAUGGGUGAAGAACACCCAUAUUUAUAGGUGCCAAACCCGAACUUCAAAGUCCGGAUUUGAAACCUUGAAAUAAAAAAAUAGGAAGGAGGGAGGAUGAAAAAUUUUAAUUCAACAAAAGGAUCUUCCAAAUCUCAGCUCUUUCCAUGCCAUUCAUGGCGGACUAGAAAAUGAAAGCCUAUUAUAACACCAAUUUGGGUCUAUUUUUCCCUGAUCUUGAAGGAUUCGUGAAUUGGAGGGUCGAUUUUAGAGAUAUUUUCGCAGGGUAGCGACCGGCGGCCAGCUAGCCAUAGGAGUGCUAGGGUUACGGUUUUGGUUUAAGGGAGAAGGGGAGAAAGAAGAGAGAGAAAAAGAGUUUUUGUUUUUGUGUUGAUUUGGGAAAGGAGAUGGAGAGAAGACGACGGUUUUUGUGGGAAAAGAGCAAUACGUGUGCCUCUGCUUUGGCAGACACGUUAUUUAUUGCAUUGGUUUGAAAAAAUAUUGACUAAUUUUGAUCCGUC